CUUGUACUCCCUCCGUUCCAAAUUACUUGUCGCAGAAAUGGAUGUAUCUAGAACUAAAAUACAUCUAGAUACAUUCAUACCUGCGACAAGUAAUUCGGAACGGAGGGAGUAUUUU
rnacentral:pre_miRNA from 1 species